rnacentral:tRNA from 1 species
GAUAACGUAGCUUAACCGGUAAAGCUUAAAUUUCAUACAUUUAAAGAUGUAGGUUCAAAUCCUAUCGUUAUCA